rnacentral:siRNA from 1 species
CUGAAAAAUGUCGGCGCUCGAUAU